rnacentral:lncRNA from 1 species
GGCCAGAGAGCCACGGGCAAGGGGCUGAGCAGAGGGGGGUCCAGUGCAAGUUGCUUAAAAAUGCCCCUGUAGCAUCAAGGGGUGCCAGACCCAAGUGAACUUAGUUGAGAAGCAGUAACACCCACAACCACACCCCAAACAGACUGGGCCUCCACCUCCGAAGAGUCAUCCCUGGACCAGACACCAGUCAAGGAGAGAGUGAUGGCUGGUAGGAUUCCCCCUACACUGGAGAAGAGCCCCAGAAAGGAAUCUUCCUGAGAAGGCGAGAAGGGACAGGAAUGGCUGCCCGGCUCCCAGAACUCCUCCCCUCCUCUCACCCCUCCCAGGAGCUUUCCAACAGUCAGAAGGCAGAGAUCCCCCAGCCUGGAGACAUUUUCUGAAGACACGGGGAAAGGAGAAAAGGCGGGCUACUCCCUGGCAAGCUGCUAAGAGCCAGUACCAAGAACGCCAGCACUUCAGGGCCAAGGAGCCUUUCUUGGGGUAAAUGAAUGGUUCCUUCAAAUACCUCUUCUCAGUGAAGCUACAUUUGAAGGAGCCAGGGGUCCGGACAAGCUCUGCCUACCAGCCCAGUACAUGCUCUCUGGAGUUCCGAUCAGUCUGCCCCCAUGCCCUCCUUGGUGCUUCCCUUCCCCCUCAGCCUUCUGUGCCCUACAAGGGCAAGGGCAGUAUUGGGGCUGCUUUAGCCAGGAGUGCAGAGACAUACUCCCUAAGUACACAGAGACGGUGCUGGGUCUGCUGAACGAGCCGUCCCAUACCCAGAGGACUAAGAAACUAAGAUGUCAGGCAUGGAGUUUAAGGCGCCGACCUGAACCCCCUUCCUGAAGUAAGCAGGCCUCAGGAAGAAGUCAGAGGCAAAACAACCAGGCUUUCUUCUCCUUACACGGGACCCCAGGUCAACAGGCACUGUGGCUCAUGCCUAUAAUCCCAGAAUUCCAGAAGUAGAAACGGGACCUGAGAAAAGGCUGCCUACCCUGUUCAGAAAACCCUGAGAGUACACAUACAUCAUCCAGCAUCAAGGCCACCACAGUCACCAUGAAGCAGAGGUCUUCUAGGGACCCUGGGAUCUUAGCAAGAGCUGGAGGUCUCCAGGGCGUGUCCAGACCAGUAUAGGAGGCAGACCACUGCGCAUGCUCAUUCUCCUGCCCAGGAAGAAAGCCGUGGCCUGAGCGCGGAGCGCCUGUCUCCCAGCCUGAGGUGCAGUGCUGCAUCUCUGGUCAGUUGGGAGUCUGAGAUGAAGCACUGUAGCUCAGGAAGGGAGAAGAUGUUCUGCAGCCGUCGCCGGGACAUGGUAAGUGUUGGUGAGGGGUAGCGGGCCCGAUCGGUUGUCCCUAGAGUCCGCUGCAGCAACUUGUGGUGAUGUUCCUUGACUCAGGCUGUACCAGGGCUGAGCACUCUUAUGCCAUCCGUAACAGUAAACGCUGGUUCAUUCAAUGGCCGCCAGCACCAACACACUGCCUUUACUUCCUCAGCCCAGAGAAGACACUGCUAACAAACAAACAAACAAACAAACCGCGGCAUCUAUCCAUUCUGAGAGGGUUCCAACACGCCCUCGGAAUCCUUCUCAACACUGAAUAUCUACUAUAAAUGGUUCUGCGUUGAAACCCCUUCAUCUCUGUGGAUCAGACAGUCCCAAACAACCCUUAGUCCUAGAGGUAGAGGCGAACGGUCCUGGCAACCCAACAGAAGUGCCACACAUUAGGCUUGGAGUCACUGUCCUCACUCUUUGAGCUCUAACCCUGGUUGGUGCUGUUGCCUCAACCAGUCUGGCAUCUCGCAAAUGUCUGCCCUGUCCCAGAGGCUUCAGAGAGGCAAGGGGCAACAGAGGGGAGCCACUGGGGUCUACCCAUUUGUAUUUAACCUCCCUAGCCUGCUCAGAGGAAGCUGACCCACUUCAUAGAGCAGAGUAUGAAAAUAGAACGCACCCCACGCGGUCUACAGCUGGUUACUCUCAGCUGUAGUGACAUCAGAACCACACACUUCUACAUGUCCACCUGCAGGCCAGAAGAGGGCAUCAGAUCCCUUUAUAAAUGGUCCUGAGCCAGGUGGCUGCUGGGAAUUGAACUCAGGACCUCUGGAAGCGCAGCCAGCACUCUUAAUCGCUGAGCCAUCUGUCCAGCCCCUGACCAUACAUAUUUCUAAGAGUCCUGUGGCCUCACUUCCUUCAUGCUGGCUCCUCGCCCACCCAGUAGGUCCUAUUUGAUGCCACCUCACAAUCGAGCAAAGAUCAGAGUCUAAGUGACCUGCUGGAGGACAACAGUGAGAAAGUCGAUAGAGCCUGGGAACGGAUUUCAUGACCACUGGCCAGAGUUCUCAUGGCCCCAUGGCAAGGGGGAGGGGGCAGGGAGGACUGGUCCCAAAUGCUUCCUGACCUCAGGGGAGGUACUUUCCAAGCCACUCAGAGCUCUGGUUGCUCUCCCCAGAGUAGAGAGCUGCAUCCUGAGAAGUGAGGUGCAUAUAGCACCCCACACUGGCUGCCAGAGCUGGCGCCGGAUGCAGGGAAAACUGCUCGUCCCUAGGGGUGGGCGUGGCACUGCUGAAGGCAUCUCUCUCCCACCUUGUCCUCACGGUCCAGUUUUCCCAGGAAUCCCUUGGAUGCUAAGAUGGGGAUUCCUGGAAAUACUGUUCUUGAGGUCAUGGCUUAACAGCUGGAUCUGCCUCCUUCCCACCCUGACAUUUCCUCCCAGGGAGAAGGGAGGAGGAGGAGGUGCAUCGGAGGGAGGUAAGCGGUCUUGGGACCUCUUCUGACCUUUGUGUUGCUUUUUUCCCACUGCGUCCAUAUUUCCUAACAUCCCGGGGAGGUUGGAUGUGGGAACCUCAGAACUGCUUCACUCUUGAGAAACUUGUCUCGAGUCACAGUGGUUGAACCAGACUCCGAGACAGCCUUCCCUCCACUCUGACCCUCCACAUUCCUUCCCACAGGCCCAUAUCCACAUUAUUAAGAAAGUAAUACACAAAUUUAUUUUCAAGGUUUAUUAAAUCAGUUAGGUAAACUAAGAAACAGUUCGUCUCCAUUGAAUUUGGAGGGCAGCCACAGGAAAAUGAGGUUUCAAGGUAGAAAAUAUGCUAUUUGGAGCGCCCCUGGUGGUGUUUCUUCCCACUGCAGGGACACUCGUGACCCCUGUACACAACCAGGGCUUAAUUAACCCUUAUUCAUCUCUCGCCAGAGAUGUGUCCAUGUCUUAGAGUUGGCUUUUCCUUAGGCAGACCACCUAGAAAGCAAAAGGUAGAACCAGGAUUGAUUUUGAGCCUGGAAUUGAAUGUCUGAGUCAAAAGAAAAAGUGGCUCCCCCCACCUCCCGCCCCAACUCUUGGGAGUUCUGUUUUUUUCUCAGUAAGUCUUUGCUCACUGUGCUAAAAAAUAAAUAAAUAGAUAAAAAUUAAAAAUAAAGCACACACCUUUAUUUGCAACACUUGGGAGGCAGAGGCAGGAGUGGAAGUCAAAACCCUUGAUGAAAUCCAGCUAUAAAAUAGGACUUGGGCUGGAAGGAUGAGAUGGGGCUUACCAGCAAAGGCACUUGACACCAAUCUAAGGGCUUGAGUAGAAGUCCCCAAAGCCACUGAGCUCCCGAAACUUGUCCUCUGACCUCCAAAUGGGUCGUAUGCCGUGUGCAGCAAACGCGCUCACACACACAAUAGAAAGAAAUAAAUGUGAAGGAAGUUCUAGAACUUCGGUGCUGGGGACACGGCUCAGUGUGUAAAGCGCUGAUUUCACAUGCCCAGCGCCUAUGUGAGGUCACACUUACAAUCCUAAGGCUGGUGGGGAGAAAGACAAGAGGACCCCUGGAGACCUGCAGCCAGCCAGGCUAGCCAGGGUUGGUUUACCAAGACUCUGCCUCAUAGAGUAGACAAUGACAGAAAACAGUGACUGUGUGCACACACACAUGCACUCAUGCACACACCCAUGUCCCUGAGAACCACCCUUAAACUGUCCCUAGUCCGGUGGAGGUAGCAAGUGUCAUAGCCCCACAACCCUCGUUUCCAGUGUGCCCUGGAGUCUCCAGAGACCAGGCAGUCCCCAGGGGCUACUAUGCUCCCAGCAAGCAUCCAGAAGACAUUUCUGAAGAGAGACCCCUCCCCCCUCCCGCUCACAUUCGGAGACCGUUGCUGACUUACUCGGGAUGGCAGACUUGCCGAUGACAGCAUCACCACCCUCCACUCUCGGGCUCUUGACACUCUGGGCAAUCCCAGUUCUCACUGCAGACCCAGUGAGGUAGCAGGCAAGCAGCCCAAGGCUGAGAGAGCUUAAGACACUUACCUUAGGCCACACUCAGUAAUUCCCCAAUCCAACAGUGCUUACGAUUUCCACCAUCCUCCCGAGUCCCACCCAACAAGGCUCCCGCCAACCCCACCCGCACAGUGGCUUUCCCAUGGGGGGAAGAAUAGUGAGCCUUCCUCUCUAUGUUUUGUGACAAUAAUAAAGCACUGGACCUUU